rnacentral:rRNA from 1 species
GAUGAACGCUGGCGGCGUGCCUAAUACAUGCAAGUCGAGCGAACAGACGAUGAGCUUGCUCCUCUGACGUUAGCGGCGGACGGGUGAGUAACACGUGGAUAACCUACCUAUAAGACUGGGAUAACUUCGGGAAACCGGAGCUAAUACCGGAUAAUAUAUUGAACCGCAUGGUUCAAUAGUGAAAGACGGUUUUGCUGUCACUUAUAGAUGGAUCCGUGCCGCAUUAGCUAGUUGGUAAGGUAACGGCUUACCAAGGCAACGAUGCGUAGCCGACCUGAGAGGGUGAUAGGCCACACUGGAACUGAGACACGGUCCAGACUACUAAGGGAGGCAGCAGUAGGGAACCUUCCGCAAUGGGCGAAAGCCUGACGGAGCAACGCCGCGUGAGUGAUGAAGGUCUUCGGAUCGUAAAACUCUGUUAUUAGGGAAGAACAAAUGUGUAAGUAACUAUGCACGUCUUGACGGUACCUAAUCAGAAAGCCACGGCUAACUACGUG